GUUGACAAGGAAAUAUAUAGUUUACCUAGCACGAAACAAAUUUGAGCUAACUAUUUAUUAGUUUUAGUAUAUGUAAUAUAGUGUGUCGCAAAAUACUAUUUAAAUAGAUAGUUAGGGGUGAUAGGCCAAGCAAAAGUUGUGAUAUCUUGAUCUUAGGGAAAUGUAUUAAGUAAUAAGACAGCUAAGGAGUGAUAAGGCUCUUUAGAGAAAUUAAGAAUCUCACGCAUUAAUUAUAGUUUUAACAGGUGAUAAAAAAAAAGGAAAAACAUUUAUUUGCAAGUAUUUAUUUAAAUUACCUAAGGGCUGAAUUUUGUAACCUCAUAAUGUCGACAUAAGUAACCUAUAAAGCUCAGCAAAAAUGAACUCGGCAAACAACUUCUCGACUGUUUACCAAAAACAUAGCUGCGUGGUAUAAUACGCAGUUUUUUCUGCUCAAUGAUUUUUAAAUAGCCGCAGUACUCUGACUGUGCAAAGGUAGCAUAAUCAUUUGGCUUAUAAUUGAAGUCUGGAAUGAAGGAAUAAACGGGAGGUGACUAUAUCUUGUUGAGGCUAUGAAAUUACUUAGUAAGUGAAAAUACUUACACUUAAAUAAUAGACGAGAAGACCCUAGAAAUUUAAAAUAACUUUUGUUGGGGCGACAUAGUAGCAAUUUAACCUACUAUAUAUACAAGUGCUUUAUUAAGGGUAUGUAUAAUUACUCUAGGGAUAACAGCAUAAUUUAUAAGAGAUUGUGACCUCGAUGUUGGAUUAGGAAAUUUAAGUCCAAAAGACAAAAAUGUUGCUCUGUUCGAGC
rnacentral:rRNA from 1 species